UACUGACGGUACUACCAGAAAGCCCGGCUAACUACGUGCCAGCAGCCGCGGUAAUACGUAGGGGGCAAGCGUGUCCGGAAUUAUUGGGCGUAAAGCGCGCGCAGGCGGUCUUUUUAAGUCUGAUGUGAAAGCCCACGGCUUAACCCGUGGAGGGUCAUUGGAAACUGGAGGACUUGAGUACAGAAGAGGAGAGUGGAAUUUCCACGUGUAGCGGUGAAAUGCGUAGAGAUGUGGAGGAACACCAGUGGCGAAGGCGACUCUCUGGUCUGUAACUGACGCUGAGGCGCGAAAGCGUGGGGAGCGAACAGGAUUAGAUACCCUGGUAGUCCACGCCGUAAACGAUGAGUGCUAGGUGUUAGGGGGUUUCCGCCCCUUAGUGCUGCAGUUAACGCAUUAAGCACUCCGCCUGGGGAGUACGGCCGCAAGGCUGAAACUCAAAAGAAUUGACGGGGGCCCGCACAAGCGGUGGAGCAUGUGGUUUAAUUCGAAGCAACGCGAAGAACCUUACCAGGUCUUGACAUCCUCUGACAGCGGUAGAGAUAUCGUUUUCCCUUCGGGGACAGAGUGACAGGUGGUGCAUGGUUGUCGUCAGCUCGUGUCGUGAGAUGUUGGGUUAAGUCCCGCAACGAGCGCAACCCUUGAUCUUAGUUGCCAGCAUUUAGUUGGGCACUCUAAGGUGACUGCCGGUGACAAACCGGAGGAAGGUGGGGAUGACGUCAAAUCAUCAUGCCCCUUAUGACCUGGGCUACACACGUGCUACAAUGGAUGGAACAAAGGGCAGCGAAGCCGCGAGGUGAAGCAAAUCCCAUAAAACCAUUCUCAGUUCGGAUUGUAGGCUGCAACUCGCCUACAUGAAGCCGGAAUCGCUAGUAAUCGCGGAUCAGCAUGCCGCGGUGAAUACGUUCCCGGGCCUUGUACACACCGCCCGUCACACCACGAGAGUUAGCAACACCCGAAGUCGGUGAGGUAACCAUUUGGAGCCAGCCGCCGAAGUGCAAGU
rnacentral:rRNA from 1 species